rnacentral:rRNA from 1 species
CCCUUAGAUGUUCUGGGCCGCACACGCGCUACACUGAAGGAGGCAGCGUGUACUCCUGGAUCGAAAGAUUUGGGUAACCCGCGAAUCUCCUUCGUGCUAGGGAUUGAGGUUUGCAAUUAUCCUUCAUGAACGAGGAAUUCCCAGUAAAUGCAAGUCAUAAGCUUGCGCUGACUACGUCCCUGCCCUUUGUACACACCGCCCGUCGCUACUACCGAUUGAAUGAUUUAGUGAGGACUUCGGACUGGGACCGAUGCGGCUUUCGGGCUGCGUCGGUAUUCUGGAAAGAUGUCCAAACUGUAUCAUUUAGAGGAAGUAAAAGUCGUAACA